rnacentral:tRNA from 1 species
GAGGGUGUAGCUCAGUGGUAGAGCAUAUGCUUAGCAUGCAUGAGGUCCUGGGUUCAAUCCCCAGUGCCGCCA